AACGAACGCUGGCGGCAGGCCUAAUACAUGCAAGUCGAGCGCCCCGCAAGGGGAGCGGCGCACGGGUGAGUAACGCGUGGGAAUAUGCCCUUCAGUACGGAACAACAUCGGGAAACUGGUGCUAAUACCGUAUAAUGACUCCGGUCCAAAGAUUUAUCGCUGAAGGAUUAGCCCGCGUCUGAUUAGCUAGUUGGUGAGGUAAUGGCUCACCAAGGCUUCGAUCAGUAGCUGGUCUGAGAGGAUGAUCAGCCACACUGGAACUGAGACACGGUCCAGACUCCUACGGGAGGCAGCAGUAAGGAAUAUUGGACAAUGGGGGAAACCCUGAUCCAGCCAUGCCGCGUGAAUGAAGAAGGCCUUCGGGUCGUAAAGUUCUUUUAGCUGUGACGAUAAUGACGGUAACAGCAGAAAAAGCUCCGGCUAACUCCGUGCCAGCCGCCGCGGUAA
rnacentral:rRNA from 1 species